GUGCGUCAUGAGGGCCUCCCGAGGGCCACAGUAGUCAGGAGGUGUUCAGCUUCUGUAAAGCCUGAGAUGAUCACGCCUUCCGUUCCCUGCACCGCUAGGGAGAUGAAACGCAGAGAAGGGGCUUUGGUA
rnacentral:sRNA from 1 species